rnacentral:ncRNA from 1 species
UUUGUUGGUUGGGCGCUCCUCUUGCCGACUCGCCUCGGUUUUGGGCGCCCCUUUGGCCGACUCACCUUGCAUUCCCUCUGGAAACCCCAAGUUUUUUCCCCACCACGCCUCUGUCACUGUUCUUUCAGUUUUGUUGGUUGGGCGCUCCUCUUACCGACUCGCCUCGGUUAUUGGAGCCCCUUUGGCCGACUCGCCUUGCGUUCCGUCUGGAAACAAUUAUCUUUUCUUUUUAACAACUUGGAAGAGUUAUCUUUUCUUUUUAACAGCUUGCUCACCCUGAAAUUGGCUCAACCGGAGAUAGGGUCUAGCAGCUGGAAGAGGAUCGCACUUCUUGCAGUGUCUGGUGCGCCCUCGGUGGCCCUUGAAAAUCUGGAGGACCGAUUAUCAUCCAUGCCCGGUCGUACUCAUAACCGCAUCAGGUCUACAAGGUGAACAGCCUCUGGUCAAUAGAACAAUGUAGGUAAGGGAAGUUAGCAAAACGGAUCCGUAACUUUGAGAAAAGGAUUGGCUCUGAGGGCUGGGUGUAGGGGUCUGCAUCCUCAACCCGUGGGCUAUCGGCAGUCUGCCCGAGCUGCUAUCGUGGAGAGGGCAGGUAGUGACGUGUCGAUUGGGCUAUGGACGUAGAAUGUCCUCUCGCGGGGGAUUUUCCCUAGGCGGUGAACAGUCAACUCAAAACUGGUAUGGAAAAGAGGAAUUUGACUGUUUAAUUAAAACAAAGCAUUGUGAUGGUCCCUGCGGAUGCUAACGCAAUGUGAUUUUUGCCUAGUGCUCUGAAUGUCAAAGUGAAGAAAUUCAACCAAGCGCGAGUAAAUGGCGGGAGUAACUAUGACUCUCUUAAGGUAGCCAAAUGCCUCGUCAUCUAAUUAGUGAUGCGCAUGAAUGGAUUAACAAGAUUCACACUGUCCCUAUCUAUUAUCUAGCGAAACCACAGCCAAGGGAAUGGGCGUCGUAGAAUCAGUGGGGAAAGAAGACCCUGUUGAGCUUGACUCUAGUCCGACUUUGUGAAAUGACUUGAGAGGUGUAGAAUAAGUGGGAGACAUUUCGGCGCAAGUGAAAUACCACUACUUUUAACAUUAUUUUACUUAUUACGUGGGGCGGAGGAUGGGCAUUGCCCCUGUUUUUGGCCUUAAGACACGUUUCAACGGGU